rnacentral:rRNA from 1 species
UACGAAGGGGGCUAGCGUUGCUCGGAAUUACUGGGCGUAAAGCGCACGUAGGCGGAUUGUUAAGUCGGGGGUGAAAUCCUGGAGCUCAACUCCAGAACUGCCUUCGAUACUGGCGAUCUCGAGUUCGGGAGAGGUGAGUGGAACUGCGAGUGUAGAGGUGAAAUUCGUAGAUAUCGGGAGGAACACCGGUGGCGAAGGCGGCGACCUGGGUCGAGACUGACGCUGAGGCGCGAAAGCGUGGGGAGCAAACAGG